rnacentral:rRNA from 1 species
UGCAAUUGGAAUGAGUACAAUUUAAAUCCCUUAACGAGGAUCAAUUGGAGGGCAAGUCUGGUGCCAGCAGCCGCGGUAAUUCCAGCUCCAAUAGCGUAUAUUAAAGUUGUUGCAGUUAAAACGUCCGUAGUCAAAUUUUAGUCUUACCGGCGCGGUGGCCUGGUCUUCAUUGACCAAGCUCGCUGUCGCUGGAGACUCCACGUCCGCUUUCUUCUAGUCUUCGGGCUAGGAUUUUGUGGACAAUUACCAUGAGCAAAUCAGAGUGUUUAAAGCAGGCUUUUAAGCUUGAAUGUGUUAGCAUGGAAUAAUGAAAUAUGACUUUAGUCCUAUUUUCGUUGGUUUAGGUACUAUAGUAAUGAUUAAUAGAAACGGUUGGGGGCAUUUGUAUUUGGCCGCUAGAGGUGAAAUUCUUGGAUUGGCCGAAGACAAACUACUGCGAAAGCAUUUGACCCAGGACGUUUUCAUUGAUCAAGGUCUAAAGUUAAGGGAUCGAAGACGAUUAGAUACCGUCGUAGUCUUAACCACAAACUAUGCCGACUAGAGAUUGGGCGUGUUUCUUAUGACUCGCUCAGCAUCUUAGCGAAAGU